CCCCUGGUGGUCUAGUGGUUUGGAUGCAGCGCUCUCACCGCCACGGCCGGGGUUCAAUUCCCGGUCAGGGAA
rnacentral:tRNA from 1 species